rnacentral:rRNA from 1 species
GAUGAACGCUGGCGGCGUGCCUAAUACAUGCAAGUCGAGCGAACAGAUGAGGAGCUUGCUCCUCUGACGUUAGCGGCGGACGGGUGAGUAACACGUGGAUAACCUACCUAUAAGACUGGGAUAACUUCGGGAAACCGGAGCUAAUACCGGAUAAUAUAUUGAACCGCAUGGUUCAAUAGUGAAAGACGGUUUUGCUGUCACUUAUAGAUGGAUCCGCGCCGCAUUAGCUAGUUGGUAAGGUAACGGCUUACCAAGGCAACGAUGCGUAGCCGACCUGAGAGGGUGAUCGGCCACACUGGAACUGAGACACGGUCCAGGCUCCUACGAGAGGCAGCAGUAGCGAAUCUUCCGCAAUGGGCGAAAGCCUGACGGAGCAACGCCGCGUGAGUGAUGAAGGUCUUCGGAUCGUAAAACUCUGUUAUUGGGGAUAAACAAAUGUGUAAGUAACUGUGCACGUCUUGACGGUACCUAAUCAGAAAGCCACGGCUAACUACGUG